CCUAAAACUAAAUUCACACACAUAGAAGUGGGAGCUGAGCCAGAAGAAGAAUGAAAGACAAACAACAAUUGUUGCUAUCCAAGUCACCUGCCCUGCCUCUGUGGUUGGACUAACACCCCUGAAUGGGAGUUUUUGUCUCAUGGUCAAUUACCAAUAACCUUGAACCUGAGGAAAAGCUGGUUUAGAUACGAACUUGAAGACAUGGAGAAAUCUUAAACAAUGCUGCCCACUACAGUUUAAGUAGAAAAACUGAAGGUAACUAGUAUUUUAGUUGCUAGUUCAAAGUCCAAAAACCUUGAGCUCUUAGCACCAUCU
ensembl:lncRNA